GUGCCAGCAGCCGCGGUAAUACGUAGGGGGCAAGCGUUGUCCGGAAUUAUUGGGCGUAAAGAGCUCGUAGGCGGUCUGUCGCGUCUGUUGUGAAAACUCGAGGCUCAACCUCGGGCUUGCAGUGGAUACGGGCAGACUAGGGUGCGGUAGGGGUGACUGGAAUUCCUGGUGUAGCGGUGGAAUGCGCAGAUAUCAGGAGGAACACCGAUGGCGAAGGCAGGUCACUGGGCCGCAACUGACGCUGAGGUGCGAAAGCGUGGGGAGCAAACAGGAUUAGAAACCCUGGUAGUCC
rnacentral:rRNA from 1 species